AGUGAACGCUGGCGGUAGGCCUAACACAUGCAAGUCGAACGGCAGCACAGGAGAGCUUGCUCUCUGGGUGGCGAGUGGCGGACGGGUGAGGAAUACAUCGGAAUCUACUCUUUCGUGGGGGAUAACGUAGGGAAACUUACGCUAAUACCGCAUACGCCCUACGGGUGAAAGCAGGGGACCUUCGGGCCUUGCGCGAUUGAAUGAGCCGAUGUCGGAGUAGCUAGUUGGCGGGGUAAAGGCCCACCAAGGCGACGACCCGUAGCUGGUCUGAGAGGAUGAUCAGCCACACUGGAACUGAGACACGGUCCAGACUCCUACGGGAGGCAGCAGUGGGGAAUAUGGGACAAUGGGCGCAAGCCUGAUCCAGCCAUACCGCGUGGGUGAAGAAGGCCUUCGGGUUGUAAAGCCCUUUUGUUGGGAAAGAAAUCCAGCUGGCUAAUACCCGGUUGGGAUGACGGUACCCAAAGAAUAAGCACCGGCUAACUUCGUGCCAGCCGCCGCCGUAA
rnacentral:rRNA from 1 species